UUGAAGCACCGUUGUAAGUCGCUCUGGAUAAGAGUGUAUGCUAAAUACCAUAAA
rfam:Astyanax mexicanus chromosome 15, whole genome shotgun sequence.